GCAGACCAUGGCUUCUGGGAUGUUGCCAAAAUAAAGAACACCUAUGCUGUGCACUUAACGAGGGAGAGAGAAGACGGCACACGGCUGGAUGGACCAUCAGCUCCACCCCUGAAAGAGAAAAUUGAUACUGUAUCUCAGAGGGGCUGGACUUGGAGAAAUGACAAUGCAACAAGAUGCCCUGAGAAGAAAGACAGAGACACAACUGCAUCUUCCAGACCUCCAGUGCUCUCAUCAGAUCCUCAUCACAGACUGACAAAGUUCACUGGAUGAAGAGAACGACAUGUGAAAAUGAAAGACUCUUUCAGAAGGUCCAGUGCUACAGAACAGCAGUCCUACAGAAAUCUCAGAACUACCAGAUGAAUCUGAGAAAAGUAACGCAUUCAACUGACUGAAGAUCAAGCAAGACUUCUAUCCCUUCCCUUGUGUGCAGGUAUAAGGUACGAGUAGAUGCUGUCAGGAGAUGGAAUGCGGUAUCUUCAUAGAACCAGAUUUGACUGACACCUGGUUGUGACCACAAGAGAAGACUAUCUGAGUGGCGGAGUGAGGUUCAUGAGCACACUAUGCGCAGAGCUGAAAAGUGGAACACCCUGAGUUCACACCAGGCGUGCCUCUAACCCUGGUAGAGGCAGAAGAGUUCCUUAGGGGGACCAACGAGGAAACUGAGCAGACUCAACUGGAGGCUUAAAAGCCCACUGUUUGCUCCAACUGAUCAAGAGCAUCUAAAAACAGAUGAAGGAUCGACGAGCACCACAGUGCUUAGCAGCAAAAAGAGAAAUUCAGCAGAAACUGAUUAAAUCACCCUGAUGCUGAAGCACAGAACGAAGACAUUUAGAUGCGGAAGAUGACAAAAUAGUUGUCUACAGUGAAUUUUUACCCACUGUUGUAGAAUAUAGUAAAAAGCUUAUUGAAGGUCAAGGAAAGUGAUUAAGUGUUGUGAGGAAAAGUCAUGCUAUGAUUAAGUGAUCAUUUUAUGAUCAAAUGGGGGAACUGAUAGAUAUUCUUAUAAGCCUGACUCUUUUCUUUCCCUGUUUCUCCCUGUUUUCCCUCACCUAGUCUUCAUGGAUGCAAGGGUAGAACGGAGACUAGAUGUUAUGGUUUCGUCACACAUCUGGUUUUAAUGUACACAAUGUAUAUAUGUGUGUGUGUUUCUUGGAAAGCAGCCAAGAAAUGGUCCUUGCCUUUUAUAGAUGGGGUCUUCUUGGAUCCCCAGGCAGGCAGGGGCACUGGACCAGAUGUUGACCAUAUUUAGACUUGUUUUUCUAUAUGUACCACAUUCCUAUAUCAUGAAAGUAUAUUCUCAUUGGACAAUUGUUACACCACCCCCUGAACAUGUUUAAAAGCCCUGUACUGAAGUAAGUCUGGGAGGAGGUUUUGUGAACGGAUUGGCUUCAUGUUCAUGACUCUUUCCCAUAGGCCUAUGCAUUCAAUGAGUGAAAAAGACAAACUGAGAAUGAGGCAUGAACUGGGACCAUAAAUGUAAGAUUAAAUAACCUUGCAGACAUGUAGGUGCAACAUUACUUAUAGUCAACAGAAUGUUUUAAAGGGGCCAUCAAAAUAAAGUGAAUCUAUCUAUCUA